rnacentral:rRNA from 1 species
UACGGAGGGGGCAAGCGUUAUUCGGAUUUAUUGGGCGUAAAGCGCGCGCAGGCGGUUCGGCAAGUCUGAUGUGAAAUCUCCACAGCUCACCUGGGAGAGGCCAUUGGAAACUGCCGAACUUGAGGUCCGGAGAGGUCGGCGGAAUUCCCGGUGUAGCGGUGGAAUGCGUAGAUAUCGGGAAGAACACCAGUGGCGAAGGCGGCCGACUGGACGGCACCUGACGCUGAGGCGCGAAAGUGUGGGGAGCAAACGGG